rnacentral:rRNA from 1 species
CCUACGGGAGGCAGCAGUGGGGAAUAUUGCACAAUGGGGGAAACCCUGAUGCAGCGACGCCGCGUGAGUGAAGAAGUAUUUCGGUAUGUAAAGCUCUAUCAGCAGGGAAGAAGAACGACGGUACCUUACUAAGAAUCCCCGGCAAAUAACGGGCCAGCAGCCGCGGUAAUACGUAUACGGAAAGCGUUAUCCGGAUUAACUGGGUGUAAAGGGAGCGUAGACGGCUGUGAAAGUCGGCAGGGAAAGCCAAGGGUUCAACCCUGGGACUGCUGUGGAGACUGUGAAGGUAGGGUGCUGGAGAGGUAAGUGGAAUUCCUGGGGUAGCGGUGAAAUGCGUAGAUAUUAGGAGGAUAACCAGGGGCGAGGGCGGCUUACGGGACAGUAACUGACGUUGAGGCUCGAAAGCGUGGGGAGCAAACAGGAUUAGAUACCCCAUAGUC